rnacentral:lncRNA from 1 species
GGGACCGGAGCACCCCAGGAUCGAAGAGGGCGCACGGGCCCGGCCCUCCCACGCGCCCUCCAGGGACCCGGCAGCCAGACAGACGGACAGGCGGACCGCUAGGGAGCUCAAGUACCCGGACACACGCACGAGCGCAGAACAAAGGGCCGGACAUGCUCCAGCCCGCUCCGCCUGCGCCUCGGCCUUGCGCGCGGGGGCCCGGGUUACCUGCGCAGUUUUAAAAAUAUUUUCCAAGAUCCCUUCAGUGAACAUGGGAUGCUUCCAUAAUGAAGAGAGAGACACACCGUGAUGACCUCCACAUACCAUAUUUGAUGACAGUCUUCCUUGAGCCAGCUGUGAUGUAAAGAAGUUUGUGCUGCAUGAGAGAGAUAGCACCUGAAGAAAAUGAGGCCCUGGAGGAUGAGAGACUCUAAAGGAAAAGGGAAGGGCCUGCUGUCUUCCAGCCACGCCAGCCCCCAACUGAGAAGCUGGGUGAAGCCAUCUUGCAUCUUUAGCCCCAGUCAAGUUACCUCAGCAAAGACUAGCUGACCCUGCCAAGCCCUGCCCAAGUUACAGAAUCAUGAGCAAAUAAAUGGCUGUUUCUGUUUUAAGCUUUUAAAUUUUGGGGGUGGUUUAUGUGUCAAUAAUAACUGAAACAGAUAAUAUAUACAGAAUAAACUUUAGUUUUAAUAAUCUAAGUAAAAGCCCACUAAUUCAUUAUGCAGAAAAAAAUGAUUUUUUUGAGACGGGGUCUCGCUCUGUUGCCAGGCUGGAGUGCUGUGGCACAACCAUAGCUCACUGCAGCCUCCACCUCCCUGGUUCAAGCGAUCUUCCCACCUCAGCCUCCCGAGUAGUUGAGACCACAGGUAUGUGCCACAACACCUGACUAAUUUUGUAAAUUUUUUGUAGAGAUGGGGUCCUGCCAUAUUGCUGAGGCUGGUCUCUAACUUCUGGGCUCAAGCCAUCCUCCUGCCUCAGCCUCCCAAAGUAUUAGGAUUACAGUGCCCUUGGUGUGGUGGAAGCAAGGUGCCAUGUGAUAAGUAAGCCUCCAGAGAGGCCUGCAUGGCAGGAUCCAAUGUCUUUAGCCAACAGCAUCUGGGAACCUGAGACCUGCCAACACCCUUGUGAGUGAGCCUGGAAGUGGACCUCCUGCUCUUGAACCUUGAGGUGACUAUAGUGCUGGCUGACACCUUGACUGCAGUCCCUGAGCUGGGGGGCCCAGCUGAUCUACUCCCAGAAUCCCCCCUACUAAAACAGUGAUAUAAUAAAUGCUUAUUGUUUCAAGCUGGUA